CACCUCACUCGGCGCAGCUGGGGAGCUCGGCACAGCCCUGACAAAUUGCUGAGCUCUCCCCAGAUAAACAAUCACCAACCAAAAUAUUUGUGUUUACUGUGGGGAUUUGUCUGUGCAUAAUUAUGCAUUAGUCAUUACGAGGACUACAGGAGAGUUUUACACAUGUAAAUACGUUCGGGUAAUUAGACGGGGCGAGUUUGGGUCUGAUUCUUCUCUGCAGCCUGAUCCCGACAUCGAGCGCUGCCGGAUGGCGGUGUGCGCUGCUGGAGAUCGGCGAGGGUACAGCUCUCUCCCUCCCCGUAACGCAGCUCUGGUUAUCCAUACGUAUUCCUUUUAAACAUUUCUUGUAGCUUUCUGUUAGAGCCUCGAGGUGCUCCGUGCACAAUGCGAGGCAACGCAACCUUCACACUGUUCUUUCAUGUACCUGCCUUCAAGGAGAGAGGCAGACACAGUCCUCAGAUAAAACCAGAUAAGACGCUAUUUUCUUCUGAAACAUCCUAAGUGCAGCAGCUUUUAGUAAUCUUCUAGCAUCUUUUCCUAUGUAUGACAGUCUAUUAAUGUCAUUUGCAUGAGAAGUACACAAUAAAUCAUUCAUGCGCAGUUUAGUGCAGGUUAAGUGUAACAGCCUGGCGGUGAUUUUCUACGAGGAAAGCAGAGCAGCUCAUCGCCGGGUGUAAAUCCGCGCGGUUCCACCACAGCUCCUGAGCCACACCAACUGAUAACUUGGCCCAUGGGGAAGCUUUGGGCAAAAAAAAAGCCGCAGAGGAAGGCACGACUUGUGCCACGCUUUGAGGACUUUCCUCCCAGCGCUUCUCUCCUGAAAACCUCUCCAAAGAAAAUGGAGCUCAAAUUCCCCAGGAAUCUGCAGCUGGCAUUUAGGGGCUUAAGCAGCAGCAGAUCGGGGGUUUGAGGCAGGCUGGUGUCCGACCACGGACUGAUCUCUGUAUCCCCAAUCCGUUACCUGCUGAAUUUGGCCCGCUGGGACCCCUUGCUGAGCAAGGGAGGCAAUGCUGGGCGGUGGGUGCAGGACGGCCGUGGUGGCAGGGGGACUUUGUGCCACCCCACAGGGAGGGGAGCGAUGCCCAUGCCCUCCCUCCUCACCCUGGUGAAGGGAAAUUCCUCCGUGGUGACGUGGUUUUGUCACCAGCUCUGGGAAUGGCUGCGUGGGCACCAGAGCUGUGGCUCCCGGGGGCUGUUGGUGGCAGAGCUGAAAAAAAUCCUCGUCCCUCACCAGCGCCGAUAACUUGCUGCCCAUCUGCACCCAGUGUUGCAAGAGGUGGACGUUAACAAAUGCUGUAAGAAGCCGUCUUAGUGGAAAUAAAAGAAAAAAAAAUCAACCCGGGCACUAAUGAUUAGAGCAAAACCCUGAUGUUAGGAGGACGUAGUCUCUGUGGAGGCAGGUUACUCAUCUUUUCCAGAAGAUACAUACACGCGUUGCAAAAUGUUUAUUUUGUACUCUCUGAAGUGGUUAAUCUACAUGCGGAGCAAUGAAAAGGUGGCUUAUUAGGCUAAUUGCUAAUAAAAAAAAAAA